UUGUCAAUUGCCAUGUGAACCAUUGUCUUGUAUCCUGGAUCUUGAGUUCACAGUUUUAGAUGGUGUCUUGAGUUCACAGUUUUAGAUGGUGUUUUGUACUCCGUACAUUAAAAAUCUGCAGUCACGUUAAACUCCUGACAAAAAGAAAACUACUCCAGAUUUUGCUGUUUCUGAACCAGCUCACAAUAUCACAUCAACCACCAGUGCAUGGUGAUGAGAGGUGGAGCCAGUGAUCAGAGAACCGGAGAAAAUCAAAUGCUGAGGAAUCAUGAGGCUGGAGUGAUAUUUUGGAACUAAAGGACCAUGGAGAUGUAAUCACGGCAUCGCAGCAUCAAACAUGCUCCUGGAAGAGAAUCAGCAAGACGGAAGAGAGUGAUAAAGAAAGAAACGAAGAAAAAAAAUAGUUUGGUUGCUCAAGGCAAGACUAAAAAUGAGUAAUUUACAGUUGUAAUCAGUGCCAUACUUCUGCAGAGAGAGAACAAGAGAGAGAAUGAGAGAGAGAACGAGAGAUAGUAUAAGAGAAAGAACCAGAGAGAGAAACAGAGAGAGCGAGAAAAAGGGAGAGAGAUAUGAAGCAGCAGAAAAUAGAAUUAAGCAAAAAAACCGACAGUUUUAAGUUAAAUGCCUUGAAGUUUCAGCAACAGGCAGAGGAAAGGAGUUAAAAAUGACGAAUUGUAGAAAAGCUUUUUUUUUUGGAAACUGAUGAGAGAAGGAACAGGGUCUUUUUUCAUAGUUUUCCUUAAUGUCAAACCACUCUGGUGUUCCUGUUAAGUCAAAAAUGAGCUUCAAAAGCAGAAACAUCAAAAAUCCAGCCAAUGCUGUUUCAGGAAACAUCACAGCUUUAAUAAUCUGAGAAUUCUGCAAAGAGCUAAAAAAUAUAUAGUUUUACAAUAAAGUAAAAAGACAAGAUUUUAUGUAUAUUAUUCUAUAUAUUAUUAUAGAAUUUUUUAAAAACAAAAUACGAUUAAAAUUUUUAAAAUAAUCGAUAAAGUUUGAAAUUAGAACAAAUGUCUAUAAAUUAUUUGGUUAUUAAAUAAUUAGUCAUAUAUUUGGUUUGACAGAAAUUAAUCUUUUUUUUUUUUGUAUAAUAAAUGUAUAAAAUGUAUAAAUGUAUAAAAAAUAAAUCUGGGAUCUAGCCCAGACUUUGGCCAUGUGCAUUUUGUUUGCGUUUGGUGUUCACGUGUCUUCCCUGCACUUGUCUAUUUCUUCCCUUCAGACACAUGUCAUGUUGGGCUUCCCUUGGCUUUGCCAACAUAAUCCUCCUCUGGACUGGAGCAGAGGGUUUGUCCUCGAGUGGGGUACCCAUUGUCAAUCUCACUGUCUCUGGCCUACUGCUCCCAGUCCUUCCUCUGACCUCACUGAUUCUCCUGACCUCAGCUCAGUACCCUCAGUUUUCCAUGACUUCAAGAUGGUUUUCAAUAAAGCACAGGCCUCCUCCUUACCCCCUCACCGACCAUUCGAUUGCACCAUCAAUCUCCUUCCCAGGACUUCUCCUCCUUGUGGUCGUCUAUUCAGCCUCACUGGGCCGGAAAGGGAAGCCACCACUACGUAAAUUCAGGAAUCGGUGUCUGCCGGUCUUAUUCACCCGUCCUCCUCCAUGGCUAGAGCUGGUUGCUUUUUGGUGGGUAAAAAGAAUGGUUUGCUGCGACCCUGCAUUGACUAUCGGGCACUUAGUGCCAUAACUAUCAAGAACUGUUACCCGCUGCCUCUUAUGUCUUCAGCCACUGAACUGCUUCAGGGGUCACUAUCUUCCCCAAACUAGAUCUCCGGAAUCCCUAUCAUCUGGUGCACAUCAGGGAGGGCGAUGAGUGAAAGACUGCUUUUAACACACCCACUGGCCACUAUGAAUACCUGGUCAUGCCUUUCGGCCUCACUAACGUCAGUACAUCUUUGUUUAUCUUGAUGAUAUACUCACCUUUUCCCACUCUCAAGAGGAACAUCAAGUGCAUGUCUGUACCAUGCUGCAAUGCUUGCUGGAGAAUCAUUUGUUUCUGAAGGCUGAGAAGUGCGCGUUUCAUGUCACCCAGACCUUCUGAGGUUUGUUCUUUCAGUAGGCAGCAUCUAGAUGGAUCCAGUUCAUAUUAUGGCGGUCAGAGAGUGGCCAUGUCCUAGGUCUCGCAAGGAGCUUCAGAGGUUCUUAGGGUUUGCCAACUUUUACCGGCAGUUUAUACAGGGCUUCAGCAUAGUAGCUGCCACCCUUCAAUGGCUCACCUCCACUCUUCAGACCUUUACCUGGAUCUCUGAGGCCGCUUUGUCAGACCAUUUGCCAUCUCCAGGAUACUCAACCCAGUAGCCAUAGUCUGCUCGCUCAAUCAAGUGUGGAGCGGCCACUUCCAUGGCGGCAGCCAUCUUGGCUGUGGUACUUCCGGAUGGAUACCAUUUUAUACUUCGCCACACUAUUUACGCAUGCUGACUGCGGACACUCUUUGCCAGAUAUUCUGCUCAUGUCCGUGGGGGGUGUUGCAGGCCUGUAUGUUUGCCCUAUUGAUCGUUUUUAUUUAUUUAUUUAUUUUUUGAUCCGUGGCAGAGGACCCCCCCCCCCCCUCUGGUUUUCUGGAAUGGUGUCUGGCUGCUGCGUGUCGGGGGUUGUCGCUUCUCCUCGGCUGUGGACAUCGCUCGGCUCUUCUGCUCAGCUGUGGACGCCACUCUGCCCUCUCCGGCUGCACCGCUGUGUGCCUUGGAAUGAUACGGGAUUGGGUCUAGCCCAGACUUUGGCCAUGUACUUUUUGUUCACGUUUCGUGUUCACAUGUCUGCCCUGCCCUUGUCUAUUUUUUCCCAACUCAGCACAACUGUCCCUUAUGUGACUAAUUGUCUUUAGUAUUUAAUACUUGUCUUAUUUCGACUUUUGUUUUGUCUUUGUUGUGUCUGUGUUUGGUUUUGUUUAAUAAAUCUGUUUUUUUUUUGCUAUCCUGCAUUUGGGUCUGUUUUUAACCCCG